GUGUCAGCAGCCGCGGUAAUACGGAGGGGACUAGCGUUGUUCGGAAUUACUGGGCGUAAAGCGCACGUAGGCGGAUUUGUAAGUCAGGGGUGAAAUCCCGGGGCUCAACCUCGGAACUGCCUUUGAUACUGCAAAUCUCGAGUCCGGAAGAGGUGAGUGGAAUUCCUAGUGUAGAGGUGAAAUUCGUAGAUAUUAGGAAGAACACCAGUGGCGAAGGCGGCUCACUGGUCCGGUACUGACGCUGAGGUGCGAAAGCGUGGGGAGCAAACAGGAUUAGAUACCCCCGUAGUCC
rnacentral:rRNA from 1 species